rnacentral:rRNA from 1 species
UAAGCGGAGGAAAAGAAACUAACAAGGAUUCCCCUAGUAGCGGCGAGCGAAGCGGGAAGAGCUCAAAUUUAUAAUCUGGCACCUUCGGUGUCCGAGUUGUAAUCUCUAGAAAUGUUUUCCGCGUUGGACCGCACACAAGUCUGUUGGAAUACAGCGGCAUAGUGGUGAGACCCCCGUAUAUGGUGCGGACGCCCAGCGCUUUGUGAUACAUUUUCGAAGAGUCGAGUUGUUUGGGAAUGCAGCUCAAAUUGGGUGGUAAAUUCCAUCUAAAGCUAAAUAUUGGCGAGAGACCGAUAGCGAACAAGUACCGUGAGGGAAAGAUGAAAAGCACUUUGGAAAGAGAGUUAACAGUACGUGAAAUUGUUGGAAGGGAAACGCUUGAAGUCAGACUUGCUUGCCGAGCAAUCGGUUUGCAGGCCAGCAUCAGUUUUCCGGGAUGGAUAAUGGUAGAGAGAAGGUAGCAGUUUCGGCUGUGUUAUAGCUCUCUGCUGGAUACAUCUUGGGGGACUGAGGAACGCAGUGUGCCUUUGGCGGGGGUUUCGACCUCUUCACACUUAGGAUGCUGGUGGAAUGGCUUUAAACGACCCGUC